GAUGAACGCUGGCGGCGUACCUAAUACAUGCAAGUCGAGCGAACAGACGAGGAGCUUGCUCCUCUGACGUUAGCGGCGGACGGGUGAGUAACACGUGGAUAACCUACCUAUAAGACUGGGAUAACUUCGGGAAACCGGAGCUAAUACCGGAUAAUAUAUUGAACCGCAUGGUUCAAUAGUCCAAGACGGUUUUGCUGUCACUUAUAGAUGGAUCCGCGCCGCAUUAGCUAGUUGGUAAGGUAACGGCUUACCAAGGCGACGAUGCGUAGCCGACCUGAGAGGGUGAUCGGCCACACUGGAACUGAGACACGGUCCAGACUCCUACGGGAGGCAGCAGUAGGGAAUCUUCCGCAAUGGGCGAAAGCCUGACGGAGCAACGCCGCGUGAGUGAUGAAGGUCUUCGGAUCGUAAAACUCUGUUAUUAGGGAAGAACAAAUGUGUAAGUAACUAUGCACGGCUUGACGGUACCUAAUCAGAAAGCCACGGCUAACUACGUG
rnacentral:rRNA from 1 species